UCCUCUCUCAAUCUGUCAUUAACAAAUUUUAACAAGGAGGGAAGGAUAAAUAAACAAAGAAAAAGAUCCGUUAAAAAAAGAGAAACAUAGAAAAGUAGUUUCUCUAACCCUAACCCUCGAUUACAAUUUUACAUUUCUCUCGACAUUCCUUCAUUUCAGUUUUCUAUCUAAAAUAUUAACAAUUUACCACACAUAAUUUGAUUUCCAGCAUCAAAUUCACUUCUUUCCGAAUCUGAGCAGAUAAGAAGAGUGACAGAAAAGAAAAAUCAAAGGAUUGUGCGCAAAUUUAUCUUUUUUCGACGAAACCGGAAACUUGGAUCUUACGAAAAUUUGAAGGUGGGUACCUAGAAGACUCUGAUUGUCAGUGCCCGGAUCAUUGAUUGAGUCGUUAGCAGAAGACCGUGGGUGUUGCACUCUCCUUCUCUCCCCUUUCUCUCUCUUUCAAUUUGUCGAAAAUGAAGCUAACAGUCAAGACUUUGAAAGGAAGCCACUUUGAGAUUCGAGUGCAGCCCAAUGACACAGUUAUGGCAGUGAAGAAAAAUAUUGAAGAUGUGCAAGGGAAAGAUAAUUAUCCCUGCGGGCAGCAGUUACUUAUUCAUAAUGGGAAAGUCUUGAAAGAUGAAACAACGUUGGCAGAGAACAAGGUUUCGGAAGAUGGCUUCCUUGUGGUCAUGCUCAGCAAGAGCAAAACUUUAAGUGCGGGAGGAACUUCAAGUGCUCAGCCUACGUCUAAUCUUACACCCAAUCCUGCACCUAGCACUACGACUGCAGCUACCCCACCUGAAGCACAGAUCGUUCCAAAGGGUGAAACUGAUUCUAAUGCUCGAAGCUCCAAUGCGACCACAGAUACGUAUGAUCAGGCUGCUUCUAAUCUAGUUGCCGGUAAUACUCUGGAGCAGACCAUACAGCAAAUCCUGGAUAUUGGUGGAGGCAGUUGGGACAGAGAUACAGUUAUGCGUGCCCUGAGGGCUGCUUAUAACAAUCCUGAGCGUGCUAUAGACUAUCUGUAUUCUGGAAUUCCUCAAACAGCUGAAAUUGUUGAGCCUGUGCCAGAGUUUCCUGCAAAUCAGGCAAACACUGCAACAGAACAAGGGACAGGUCCAGCCCCAAUUUCUGGGGCACCAAAUUCUUCUCCAUUAAAUAUGUUUCCACAGGAGUCACUCUCUGAUGCGGCUGCUGGCGGGUUAGGAUCACUUGAUUUCCUUAGAAACAAUCAGCAGUUCCAGGCUUUGCGCAAUAUGGUGCAAACAAAUCCUCAGAUUUUACAGCCAAUGCUUCAGGAGCUUGGAAAGCAGAAUCCAGAGCUUCUAAGAUUAAUUCAGGAUCACCAUGCUGAGUUCCUUCAACUUUUAAAUGAACCUCUUGAUGGUUCUGAAGGGGAUAUAUUUGAUCAGCCUGAGCAGGAUAUGCCCCAUGCAAUUAGUGUCACCCAGGAGGAGCAGGAGGCCAUUGAAAGGCUUGAGGCAAUGGGUUUUGAUAGAGCACUCGUCAUUGAAGCAUAUUUAGCCUGUGAACGUGAUGAAGAAUUAGCUGCUAACUACUUGUUGGAGCAUGCGGAUGAAAAUGAGGAUUAGACAGGAGGUAUAGUCGGUUAUUGAUAUCUGGAUUGCUGAUUUUAGGGAAAUGGGAUAUACAUGCUGGUGCUUGAGAAGGUUAUCGGGUAUGCAUGGAAUGGAAUGAAUAUUACAGAUUUGCGUCGGAGUUAUUGCAUUGGCUUUGUAUUCCCAGAGUUUGAGGGGUGAUUUAGAGAUUGAAGCUGAAAAUGGAGAAAUUUUUUAGUGAACUUUUGAUGAUUUGCUAUUAGAAAUAGCUGUACAGUCGGUCUUUGGUUAGUCGGUCUCAGUUGUCAGAUUAGGUAUUAGCGGCAGAGAUUAUACUCCUUAGUAAAAGAAAGGGGGUAGUAUUAACAUGUUUUAUUUAACUUUUAAGGAUUUUUGUAAGGUUUUAUAAAUUGCUAAAAGGCCGACUUUUGACAUAGUGUUUUUUUUUUGGUAACUAUGC